CAAGUUAAUGAUGCAAUAACUAAAAGAAGAGCAUACGAUCCUUUUUACGAUGAACCGAUAUGCAAAGUGCGCCCACAAUACACAAUGGGAAAGAAAAAUGAAGUCAACAAAGCAGAAUUUUCUUCCAAUGGCAACUCGCGUUCUUUACCCAACAACAAGGUAGCUGACGACAAAGCUCCGAUAGAAACUCCAUUUCCAAUUGAAGAUUCUAGCAAUACUUUGCUGACUGGCAAAGCUAACAACAUCGAAGACAACAUCAAGGGGGAAAUGUCGUUCAAGGAAAUCUCACAAGUUGAAAAAGAGGUAA